UCCUACGGGAGGCUGCAGUGAGGAAUAUUGCCCAAUGGACGCAAGUCUGAGGCAGCGACGCCGCGUGGGUGAAGAAGGCCUUCGGGUCGUAAAGCCCUUUUCUGUGUAACGAGGAAGGACGGUAGCACAGGAAAAAGUCUCGGCUAACUACGUGCCAGCAGCCGCGGUAAAACGUAGGAGGCAAGCGUUAUCCGGAGUUACUGGGCGUAAAGCGUGCGUAGGCGGGUCGGUAAGUGGGUCGUGAAAGCGCCGGGCUAAACCGGGCGAGGACGAACUAGACUGCCGGUCUAGAGGCGGAUAGAGGGGUGCGGAAUUCCGGGUGUAGCGGUGAAAUGUGUAGAGAUCCGGAGGAACACCAGUGGUGCAAACGGCGCCCUGGGUCCGAACUGACGCUGAGGCACGAAAGCGUGGGGAGCGAACGGGAUUAGAUACCCCGGUAGUCC
rnacentral:rRNA from 1 species